rnacentral:lncRNA from 1 species
UGAAGCUCGUAGGGAUCAAAUGGAAUCAGCUCGCACAGGAUGGGUAAACUGGAGAUCAUCGGGAGAGACCUUCGUCUUGCAGUGGACUAAAACAGGCUGAGAAUGAUGAUGAUGCCCUGCCGCGGUGGUCUAGUGGUUAUGGCGCUCUACUGCUGACCC